UACGGAGGGUGCAAGCGUUGCUCGGAAUUAUUGGGCGUAAAGGGUAGGUAGGUGGUCUCGUUUGUCUGAGGUGAAAGCCUUGAGCUUAACUCAAGAAGUGCCUUAGAAACGGCGAGACUAGAGUCCUGGAGAGGGUCGUGGAAUUCCCGGUGUAGCGGUGAAAUGCGUAGAGAUCGGGAGGAACACCAGAGGCGAAGGCGGCGACCUGGACAGGUACUGACACUCAACUACGAAAGCGUGGGGAGCAAACAGG
rnacentral:rRNA from 1 species